rnacentral:rRNA from 1 species
GAUGAACGCUGGCGGCGUGCUUAACACAUGCAAGUCGAACGGAAAGGCUCCUGCUUGCAGGGGUACUCGAGUGGCGAACGGGUGAGUAACACGUGGGUGAUCUGCCCUGCACUUCGGGAUAAGCCUGGGAAACUGGGUCUAAUACCGGAUAGGACCACAUUUUGGAUGGUGUGGUGGAAAGUUUUUCGGUGUGGGAUGAGCUCGCGGCCUAUCAGCUUGUUGGUGGGGUAAUGGCCUACCAAGGCGUCGACGGGUAGCCGGCCUGAGAGGGUGUACGGCCACAUUGGAACUGAGAUACGGCCCAGACUCCUACGGGAGGCAGAAGUGGGGAAUAUUGCACAAUGGGCGCAAGCCUGAUGCAGCGACGCCGCGUGGGGGAUGACGGCCUUCGGGUUGUAAACUCCUUUCGCUAGGGACGAAGCGUUUUUGUGACGGUACCUGGAGAAGAAGCACCGGCUAACUACGUG